rnacentral:rRNA from 1 species
GAUGAACGCUGGCGGCGUGCCUAAUACAUGCAAGUCGAGCGAACAGACGAGGAGCUUGCUCCUCUGACGUUAGCGGCGGACGGGUGAGUAACACGUGGAUAACCUACCUAUAAGACUGGGAUAACUUCGGGAAACCGGAGCUAAUACCGGAUAAUAUAUUGAACCGCAUGGUUCAAUAGUGAAAGACGGUUUUGCUGUCACUUAUAGAUGGAUCCGCGCCGCAUUAGCUAGUUGGUAAGGUAACGGCUUACCAAGGCAACGAUGCGUAGCCGACCUGAGAGGGUGAUCGGCCACACUGGAACUGAGACACGGUCCAGACUCCUACGGGAGGCAGCAGUAGGGAAUCUUCCGCAAUGGGCGAAAGCCUGACGGAGCAACGCCGCGUGAGUGAUGAAGGUCUUCGGAUCGUAAAACGAUGUUAUUAGGGAAGAGCAAAUGUGUAAGUAACUAUGCACGUCUUGACGGUACCUAAGCAGAAAGCCACGGCUAACUACGU